GUGAAAGAUAAUAUGUAGUCAGUUUCAGUAAUGAAAAAACCCAAUAACCAUUUUUAAGUGAAGUUUUGGUAAAGAUGACGAUGAAGGCAAAUGAGCGACAAAGAAUACAGAAAGGUUUCUUAACUUUUGAAGAGCUACCAAAAAACAUUUUUGUUUUUCUUCGAAAUCGUCCUUCUUUAUGAUGUACCACCAAAAGCGACAGCAGUCAAAUCUUUCAAUAAAUUAGGUUUUAAUUGUUUGUCUAUUAAUGUAA
rnacentral:lncRNA from 1 species